rnacentral:rRNA from 1 species
ACACUCCUACGGGAGGCAGCAGUGGGGAAUAUUGCACAAUGGGCGCAAGCCUGAUGCAGCCAUGCCGCGUGUAUGAAGAAGGCCUUCGGGUUGUAAAGUACUUUCAGCGGGGAGGAAGGCAAUACGGUUAAUAACCGUGUUGAUUGACGUUACCCGCAGAAGAAGCACCGGCUAACUCCGUGCCAGCAGCCGCGGUAAUACGGAGGGUGCAAGCGUUAAUCGGAACUACUGGGCGUAAAGUGCACGCAGGCGGUCUGUCAAGUCGGAUGUGAAAUCCCCGGGCUCAACCUGGGAACUGCAUUCGAAACUGGCAGGCUUGAGUCUUGUAGAGGGGGGUAGAAUUCCAGGUGUAGCGGUGAAAUGCGUAGAGAUCUGGAGGAAUACCGGUGGCGAAGGCGGCCCCCUGGACAAAGACUGACGCUCAGGUGCGAAAGCGUGGGGAGCAAACAGGAUUAGAUACCCGGGUAGUCCCAUGA